GCUUGAGCUUGGGCUUGGGCUUGGGCUUGGGCUGUGUGUGCGUCUGAAGUUGAAUGAGGUGGAGGUCGGCCCAGGAAGCAUUGGAGGCUCAUCAGUGGGCAGAUGGGUCCAGGACUUGCUCCUGCCUUGGCUUCACGGGCAGAUGACCUCAUGACACUGUGCAAGGCUGUGGAGGUCUUGGGCGGCCUGUCAGUUGGCCACUGAGCGUGGAGGGGGCUCUGAUUAAGGAGCAUGGUUUUGCUGGGAAACACCUCAGGAUCUUGGGCCAUCCAGGUCUGUCCAGGGGGCUGUGGCUGGCCUUGUCCAUGGGCCAUGCAUCCUGCAGCGUGGGUAGCUUAGCUUGUUCUUGCACCCAGGGUUCCUGCUGGAAAGUCAUCUGCUAAAUGAGGGUCCAUGAUUUACCUGCAAGUCCAGUGUCUCGCCUAGGAACCCAGCGGUUCUCAUUCUGGUGGAAACAGGCUUGGGACAGAAGUGGGAAUGGUAGAGCCGGAGAUCUGGCUCUGUUCUGGUGGUGGAGACGUCAAGCUGAGCCCCCUAAUCCCUGACUGCACCACUUUCCCCCCAUCAAUGGUAAUCGGAUGCUGAGCACAUUUUAAUUUUGCUAUUUCUUUGGUUUCUUCCCCUUCCCCACCCCUCCUUCUUGUAGGACUAGGAGUAAAUGUUAGGAUAAACCUUCUUAUGUUACAAAUUUUUACCUUCUUUUUCCCCUGGGAAGACUGUGAUUGAACUGCACACAAACCCAGCUGCAGUCUGAAGCACCGGUUUCUUGGCUGACCCACGGCAAGCAUAAGUUUUUCUGCCCUUUGGGGUGGCAGAUUCUGUACUGGAAAUCCACUGGAAGAGUGAAAUCAUUAGUUGCUGUUCUUAAAAUCUGGUCCUGUCUUUCCAGGGAGGUGUGUCUUGUGGGCCCUCAUCCUUGCAGCCUAGUGCUUUGGUGGACAUCACGGUGGUAGCAGGGAGGUCUCUGGGCUGCUGUUCCCAGGGCUCUGGGGCAGCCACAUGGUAAGAGGUGCAUGUUCAGCCCCGUCUCUGAUUCCAGAAGAGACCAGGAUACUCACU
rnacentral:lncRNA from 1 species